UACGGAAGGCAGCAGGGGGGAAUAUUGCACAAUGGGCGCAAGCCUGAUGCAGCCAUGCCGCGUGUAUGAAGAAGGCCUUCGGGUUGUAAAGUACUUUCAGUCGUGAGGAAGGUGUUAAGGUUAAUAACCUUAGCAAUUGACGUUAGCGACAGAAGAAGCACCGGCUAACUCCGUGCCAGCAGCCGCGGUAAUACGGAGGGUGCGAGCGUUAAUCGGAAUUACUGGGCGUAAAGGGCACGCAGGCGGUUAAUUAAGUUGGAUGUGAAAUCCCCGGGCUUAACCUGGGAAUGGCAUUCAAGACUGGUUAGCUAGAGUCUUGUAGAGGGGGUAGAAUUCCAUGUGUAGCGGUGAAAUGCGUAGAGAUGUGGAGGAAUACCGGUGGCGAAGGCGGCCCCUGGACAAAGACUGACGCUCAUGUGCGAAAGCGUGGGGAGCAACGAGAGUAGUAGACCUCCUGGUGGAAC
rnacentral:rRNA from 1 species